AGUGGAAUUGCUGGAUUAUAUGGUAACUCUGUGUUUAACCCUUUGAGGAAAUGCCAGACUGUUUUUCAAAGCAGCUGUAGCAUUUUAUACACCCUGAUGGGAGUGCAUAAGGGUUCCAGUUUCUCGACAGCUCACCAACACUUGUCAUUUUCUUUUGUUGAUCAUAGCCAGCCUAGUGGACGUGAAGUGGCAUUUCCUCGUGGUUGCAUUUGUAUUACAUAGUGACUGCUGACGUUGAGCAUCUUUUCCUGUGCUUACUAGCUGUUUGUAUAUCUUCUUUGGAAAAAUGUCUCUUCAGAUCCUUUGCCCAUUUUUAAAUUGGGUUAUUUGUCUUUUUAUUGUUGAGUUAUAGUGGCUCUUUAAAUUUAGAUUAAUUAAAGUGAAAUAAAAUUAAAAAUUCAGUUCCUCAGUCACACUAGCCACAUUUCCAGGACUCAGUCACCCCGUGGGUGGUGGCCACAGUAUUGGACAGUUGCAGACAGAGAAUUUCCGUCAUUGCGGAGAGUUAUAUUGGACAGCACUGGCUUAGACCAUCAAGACUGGUCACUUGGAGCUGGGCACAUGGCCACUCUCAACAAAAUCAAGGUUUUGCUAAACUAGGAAGGAUGGGGAAAAGGAUAUAGAAUGCAACUAUAGGACAUUCUUCAGAACGAGUAAGAUGUCCUGGCCCCAAAAGAGAUGGAUAUGCAUAUUCAGCAUGUAUCUCCUAAAGAUGCUUAGCUGUCACCCAAGGGAAGAGCUGGAGUCGGAGUUGAGUGGGAGGACAGAAUUCUAGAUCAAGGAUGGGCAAACUUUUUCUGUAAAGAGCUAGAUAGUAAAUAUUUUUGGCUUUGCUGCCUAUCUGGCAUCUGUCACAACUACUCAACUUUAUCAUUGUAGUGAAAAAGUAGUCAGAGACAAUAUGUAGCUGAAUGAGUGUGACCAUGUUCUAAGCAAACUUGAUUUACAGAAAUGAGUAGUGGGCUGGAUUUGGCUCACAGGCUUUAUUUUGCGUGGAACAUUGUGUAGAAAGGUAUGGAGGCUUGCAGCGGCCCAGCGUGCUGCAGUAAAGGGGACGGUGAGAUGGUUGGUAUGGCUGGAAAACAGGCUUUGGAAUAACCGUGUGAAGGAGGUUAGGAGGACAGACAACCAGGCUGUGAAGGUCCUGGGUGCAUAUCAAGGUUGUUUCGUUCUGGUAUUUUUAAAAUACUGUAAGCAACAAUAAGCCAAAGUUUUUACGUUGCAAAUUAUAUUGUCUUUUUAGACAACUCUGUGCAGCAUUGUGCAAAGGGGAUUGGAGAAAGUGAGACUAAAGGUAAAGAAAACCAGUUAAGAAGCUGUUGAAGAGCCUGAGCAAAAGCAGGAUUAUACACUGAGUGAUUCUGUCAGUAAGGAUGCCUGUCUCCUGAUCACACCUGAUAAUAAGCUGUUUACGGUAUGAGACCAAUGACUGUGACACAGGCUAAGUGUGCGUAUCUUGGAUUAAAAUAAAGAUCUGGUAAUUAUCAGGCUAAUAGUAUCAGUAUAGAUGUAGACACCAAGCCAAUAAAUCUUGUCCUCAUAACCUCAUCACUGGGGGCUGGCAAGAAGCACUAUUGGGUUAAAUGACAUGUGAAGAGCAGGAUCUGGACAUGCUCUUUUCAUUCUGGGAGUGUCGCCUGUCACCCCAGAGAACUGGUGUGAGUGCUGGUCUUGAGACCCGCCCUGGCCCUGGGAAGACUGUGACUGGAGUUGCGUGGGGCAGCCAGCUGUGGCCUCGGCAGAGUGGACUUCUGCAUGGGGCAGUGAGCUCGUUCCUACAGCUCAGUCCCAAAAGGUCCCGGGGAGGGAAAAGCCAGCCUUGAUGAACUCCUAACUUAGGAAGUUGGGUCCAGAGUUGAGCACAAUAUGGAGGUUUGCCUUGGAGUGUCUGCUAUCAGUAAAGAUGAAUUAUCCACGUGGGCUUAGAAAAAUCGGAAUGCAAAUUAUGUGUCAGUGGAUGUUUUUUUUCCAGCAUAGUAAUCCUAGCUUGUGAGUACACACAUGUUUUCAAAGCUGGUUUUGCAGACUGAGUAACAAGAACUCUACAAUCAAUGUUGCGAGGGUUGCUAAGUUGGUUUUCUUACGUGUAAGCAUAUUAGCACAGAAUCCUCUGGAGCUGAAUUCCAACUGGAAUAAUGUGUAGUGAUUUCUGGCAGUCUUCAUUGUGUGACCAUGCUCUUCAUGAAAGCAUCUUGGCUUGUUCACUAGUUAAAUCCUCACUGAUUCCUGAAAUUAUGAAAUAUAAAUGUAUUAUAAGAAGCGGCUUAGCAGCAUUCAGAAGGCAGAGUUGUACCUCACCCCAGGAAUGAAAAGGAAUGACUGUCUUACGUGCGUGGCUAUUUUUUCUCUGGGCGUCCCGAUUCCAAAUGCUGUGAGCAUCAGAAAAUGUCUCCUGAAUCUCAUUUUGAGUGCAGACCUCUUUCCAGGGGUAAUUAUGAGUAUUUCUGAGGGUGGGGCAGACAGAGAUGAUAACAUCAGAGACUGACUCCUUGACCGGGCCUGCUUGGUGAAGCCACUGCUCCAGGGGGGUGGUAGGUGGGCCUGCACUUGUGCGGGCCGCUGUCGACACCGGGCUCUGCUGCCUCGCCAGGGAUGCUCCAGGGCCAAGGCCACGGCCAGGCCUGACUGCCAGCCUUUGGCAUGGAGGCGUGAGGAUGCUUGGUCCACUUUCUGAGUCCAGUGCCCUAGAACAGAAGGGGCUGACUGGAUCUAGGGCAUAUGGAAUUCACUGAAUUUGUCCAAUUAUUUUUCAAGCUCGUAGGUUCCCAAACGUCGUUGGCUAAGUACGCAGACACUGGUGUCUGUCGAGGAGAGUGCACUCCGUAUGUGUCUGAUUCGUCUACCCUGAAAUGAUCAAAAUGUUGUAUUUCUGAGCUCUCUGAAGUACAGAAAGGUCUUUUGAAGUUUUGGAUUUCUUUUUUGCUCUUUAAUGAAAAUAACAGAAAUGAGUGAUCCCAGUGAUCACAAGAGGCCCAGAUCAGCCCGAUUCCUGGCCACCAAGAAGCUUUGGGCAUAAAUAUUUUCUGGGGUAUUUGUGCCGUUGGCUAUUCUGGAACACCCUUCUGAUUUGCUUUCGUCAUGCCUGAUCAGAAAGGCUGUUUUUGAAAAACUGGUGUUCAACAACCAUCAAUUUUUUUUAAAUGAAGCUUCUCAAGUCUUUUCUUAGAAUGGGGAAAUCUCUUUGUGACAAAGAAUAAAUAAACUAGCUCAAAAUGCUAGUUAGGUGACCUAGUUUCUUCAACAAGUCCAAAAACAUGGCAAGGAGGAAAAAAGAGAGAUGGAGGGGCGCGCUAAGGAAGAGGGGCUGAGGCGACAUAGGGCCCACUUGUGAUGUUUGGCCCUUGUUUGACCCUCACGCAAAACAGCUGUUAAAAGAGGAGAAGUAAAGCAUUAGGAGAGGCAGGAACACAGAAUAGAUUCUGGGUGAUAGUAAGGAAUUAUUAUUAAUUAUCAUCAUGUCGUAAUUAUUUUUUGAAAGAGAUCUCAUAUUUUAUAGAUACAUGCUAAAAUAUUUAUGGAAAAAUAAUACAAAGUCUGGAAUGUGUUUAAAAAGAACCGGCGUGGGGUCUAGAUGAGGAGACGACCACGGGUUGAAGUUGUCUGAAGCUGGGUGAGCAGCGCGUGCAGGUUCGCCAGACUGUUCUUUCUAAUUUUGAAUAUGUUUGAAAUUUAAUAUACUAAAAAGUUUUUAAAAAUUAGCAGUUUGGAAUCUCUGAAAGUCCUGGGUUCCUGAAGGUGCAUCCUUGGGUGGCCUUAGCGCCUGUCCCACACCUUCGCUAGUCCCGGGUGGAGGGAGAGACAGUUUCCCCUUUAGUCUUGGCUGUCUCCCGCCCUCCCUGUCUUUCUGUGUUUCUGUCUUCUUUUCUUCCUUCUCUUUCCUCUCUUGGCCUUUAUUUGGGCUGACAAGAAAAGAAAACACAAGUUUUGCGUCAGGUUGCAAAUAUCCUUAGGACACGUUGAUUCUCAUGGUGACACAAAGGCCUCGUGCCUUCUGGAGGCUCAGGCGACGGCCAGGCCUGUCCUGACCUCUGAGUGGUCUUACUGGGCUGAGGUCAAACCUGACUGGACCACCCGCCCACCGUCAGUCACCAUAACACGGUUUUUAAAAAUGUUGCCUCGGUGAGAGCGAGAAGGGUUUGGGUGGAAGCUGACAUUCUGCCACCUGCCUGGACUCCGGCGCGGGGCUUGGGAGUGCUCCCGUCCUCUGUGCCUGACUGUGGUUUGGGAUGAGUCCUUGGCUGUGGGAUUCUGCUGGGAGAUUGGUCUGACUUCAUCACUGCCUAAGCAGACAAAGAGAUUAGAUCACUGGAUCCCAAACUCCAUAAGUCCUCACCGGGUGAAGCACGUGGAGAGAUUUUUAAUUUUUAUUUUUUUUUUAGUAAAAAUACUUGGGGAACCCCCUGGGAGUUCUGAUUCAGCAGGUCUGAGUGAAGCAGAAGCUCGAUCUCUGUAACUUUAUCAGCUUCCCACGCGACUCUCCCCAUCAUUAGGUUGGAACUUUAGUAGACUCAAUAGCUUUUAAUGCAUUGGAGGGUUCUGGCUGUGCGAGGAGCAGAUUGAGAUUGUGUUUACUUAGAGCUCUGCCUUAUGACCAUGGACGUGGCGAGUGUUUUGUUGGUGGUAUUUGAACCCAGAUUUAUCUUUCUGCCGUGCCCUGCGGCUGUUUCUCAGGCCUCUCUUGGCCCCACAGGAUGUGUGAAAGGAGGGGCCGUCUGUUGAGAGGGCAGGAAACCCCACCAGUAGGGCCGGCUGCCAGAGCUUCCUUCACUGGGCUGUACUGGCCUGUUUGUAUUUCUCCGUCCAGCAGUGAGUGAAGGUCCCGCUGAAAGCCUUUGUCCCUGCUCGGAGCACCGGCUAUCUUCCCUGGGAGCUGUCUGGCCGGGUCGCGUGGCCGCCGAGGGACAGAAGCCUCCUCUAGGGAGGAGACCAAGAUGUGAGAGGGAAAGAAAAGAUUUCCCCGGUGGAUUCCAGGCGCUCUCUGUCGCUCACCUGGGGUGCUGGGCGGCCUGCGUGCUGGGCUUCCCUCCCGCGGCCUCUCUGCUUCCAAGUCACUGUCCUCAGCGGGGACCCUCUUAAGAACGCAGCCUGAUUAUGUUCCUCCCUGGAUGCCCCUUCAGUGACUCCCAAUUCCUUGAAUAAAAGGUCUGAGGCCCUCGGCAUGCAUUGAA